UCUAACAGUUGUCAUCAAUGUGGAAAGAGUUUCAAAUUUAAAGCAAACCUUAAUGAGCACUUGAAAAUUCACACUGGAGAGAAGCCUUUCACAUGUCAACAGUGUGGAAAGAGUUUCACUAAAAAAGGAAACCUUAAAGAGCACACCAAGAUUCACACUGGAGAGAAGCUUUUCACAUGCCAGCAGUGUGGAAAGAGUUUUGUUAAAAAAGGAAAUCUUAAAGAUCACAUGUACAUUCACACUGUAGUAAAGCCAUUUACAUGUGACAAGUGUGGAAUGGGUUUCAAAUUUAAAGAAAGCCUUAAUAACCACUUGCGAAAAAUACAUUCAAGAGAGAAUUGUUUUAUGUGUAAUCAGUGUGGAGAGAGUUUCAUUAGUAAAGUAAGCCUCUACAGUCAUAUAAAACUUCACACUAAAGAGAAGCGGUUUAUCUGCCCACUGUGUGGGGAUACUUUCUUACAAAAUGGAAAUCUAAAGUCACACUUGAGAGUUCACUCUCAAGAGAAGACUUUCCCAUCAGUGUGGAAAUCAUUUCAGACGGAAAACAACCAUUGAGUCGCACAUGAAAAGACCGAUCUGAUGGUAAUAAAAGAGAAUAAAUAGCUGGAAGAAACGGAAGAGAAAGAUCAAUAUAA